CUGAAUUUCUUUUUUGGGCGAUAUUUGGAUUUUCAGUGCGAGAGUGCCCUCUGGCCUUCGGAUGGAGAUUUACUACUGAUCACAGAACUGUGCUUC